GCCAGGUGUGGUGGUGCAUGCCUGUAGUCCCAGCUACUCUGGAGGCUGAGGUGGGAGGAUCACUUGAGCCCAGGAGUUCUGGGCUGUAGUGCGCUAUGCCGAUCAAGUGUCCACACUAAGUUUGGCAUCAAUGUAGUGACCUUCCGGGAUCGGGGGACCACCAGGUUGCCUAAGGAGAGGUGAACCAGCCCAGGUCAGAAACGGAGCAGGUCAAAACCCCUGUGCUGAUCAGUAAUGGGAUUGCACCUGUGAAUAGCCACUGCACUCCAACCUAGGCAACAUAGUGAGACUCUU
ensembl:misc_RNA Metazoa_SRP Metazoan signal recognition particle RNA